rnacentral:rRNA from 1 species
UACGGGAGGCAGCAGUGGGGAAUAUUGCACAAUGGGCGCAAGCCUGAUGCAGCCAUGCCGCGUGUAUGAAGAAGGCCUUCGGGUUGUAAAGUACUUUCAGUCGUGAGGAAGGUGUUAAGGUUAAUAACCUUAGCAAUUGACGUUAGCGACAGAAGAAGCACCGGCUAACUCCGUGCCAGCAGCCGCGGUAAUACGGAGGGUGCGAGCGUUAAUCGGAAUUACUGGGCGUAAAAGGGCACGCAGGCGGUUAAUUAAGUUGGAUGUGAAAAUCCCCGGGCUUAAACCUGGGAAUGGCAUUCAAGACUGGUUAGCUAGAGUCUUGUAGAGGGGGUAGAAUUCCAUGUGUAGCGGUGAAAAUGCGUAGAGAUGUGGAGGAAUACCGGUGGCGAAAGGCGGCCCCUGGACAAAGACUGACGCUCAUGUGCGAAAAGCGUGGGGAGCAAACAGGGAUUAGAUAC